GCCAGGUGUAGUGACACCCGCCUGUAAUCCCAGAUACUUGAAAGGCUGAGGUGAGAGGAUCACUUGAGGUGGUCCACAGUGUGCUACGCCAAUUGGGUGAUCCCACUAAUUGGGUGUUCAGCAUCAAUGUGGUGAUCUCCCAGGAGUGGGAGACUACGAGGCUGCCUAAGGAGGGGUGAACUGAGAAGGUCAAAACUCCUGUGAUGACCAGUAAUGGGAUGUAGCCGGUGAACAGCCACUGCACUCUGGCCUGCGCACCACAGCAAGAUCCUGUCUCU
rnacentral:SRP_RNA from 1 species